CCUACGGGAGGCAGCAGUGGGGAAUAUUGCACAAUGGGGGAAACCCUGAUGCAGCGACGCCGCGUGAGCGAUGAAGUAUUUCGGUAUGUAAAGCUCUAUCAGCAGGGAAGAAAAUGACGGUACCUGACUAAGAAGCACCGGCUAAAUACGUGCCAGCAGCCGCGGUAAUACGUAUGGUGCAAGCGUUAUCCGGAUUUACUGGGUGUAAAGGGAGCGUAGACGGAGUGGCAAGUCUGAUGUGAAAACCCGGGGCUCAACCCCGGGACUGCAUUGGAAACUGUCAGACUGGAGUGCAGGAGAGGUAAGCGGAAUUCCUAGUGUAGCGGUGAAAUGCGUAGAUAUUAGGAGGAACAUCAGUGGCGAAGGCGGCUUACUGGACGAUAACUGACGUUGAGGCUCGAAAGCGUGGGGAGCAAACAGGAUU
rnacentral:rRNA from 1 species